rnacentral:rRNA from 1 species
UACGUAGGGACCGAGCGUUGUCCGGAAUCAUUGGGCGUAAAGCGCGCGCAGGCGGUCCUUUAAGUCUGAUGUGAAAGCCCGCGGCUCAACCGUGGAGGGUCAUUGGAAACUGGGGGACUUGAGUGCAGAAGAGGAAAGUGGAAUUCCAAGUGUAGCGGUGAAAUGCGUAGAGAUUUGGAGGAACACCAGUGGCGAAGGCGACUUUCUGGUCUGUAACUGACGCUGAGGCGCGAAAGCGUGGGGAGCAAACAGG